rnacentral:misc_RNA from 1 species
GGAAUGUGGUGGAUAGCAUAUGAUAUUGCCUUGUAGCUUGAACUUUGCAGAAGAAAAGACAGGAAAAGGAGAAUCCAAUAAAGUAAAUACUAACAAGGGAAGGGUAAUAUUAUUUUAGCAACUAUAAAAACCUACAAGGAAGUCACUAUCACAGAAGAAGGCCAAGUGAAAUUGCAUUCGCACAUGGUGGGGUUGGGUUUUGUUAAUGCUCUGUGUAUUCAUGUGGGUAUAGAAAUGUUGUUGUUUCUGUUCUUCUCUCCUUUCAUCUUUUGUUUCAUUUUUCAGGCAAAAAUCUCAAGAUUCC